GACGAACCGUGCGAACGUUGUUCGGAAUCACUGGGCUUAAAGGGCGCGUAGGCGGGUUCGCAAGUCUGUGGUGAAAUCCUCCAGCUUAACUGGAGAAGUGCCGUGGAUACUGCGAAUCUUGAGGAGGGUAGGGGCGUCUGGAACGGUCGGUGGAGCGGUGAAAUGCGUUGAUAUCGACCGGAACUCCGGUGGCGAAGGCGAGGCGCUGGACCCUUUCUGACGCUGAGGCGCGAAAGCCAGGGGAGCAAACGGGG
rnacentral:rRNA from 1 species